GUACAGAUCCAGCAUGAAGAGCGGCGCCGACGAGCCGUGUUUGCCCACCGAGAAGGGCCUCGGGCGGUGAGGCAGCCCUAGGAUGGACAGAAUCUCCCUCUGGAUCUCCCUCCUCUCGUGGUUCCGCAAACGCCGAUUGAUUUAAUUACCCAGCUGCCAUGGUGGAGCCUGAACAUAUGCCUCUCAUCUAUCGCCCAGUCCCAUAGACACUGGUUUGGAAGUGAACCACUAGCCUGCAACGAUUCAGGACUGUGUGUGACUGGGAAAACUCGAAGGUCCCCAUAAGCCUGUCCCUUUGGGCAUUGGAAGCCACAGGCUUUGGAGGCGAUGUUUUUCAUUUGUUUUGUUGGAGAACUGGGCAUCAGUAAUAAAGCCGACAUCUGUCGCCGCUGAACUGCAUUUCAAAGGACAUGUUGGAGGUGCCCAGCGACGUGUAGCCACCCAGCCAGUGGCUGGAGAAGAAGGAGAAUGUGCUGAUGUCGCAGGGUUGGAACGACCCGGAGCGGGAGCUGUACAUCGCCCAGCGCGGCUUCAUGGCCGUGGGAAAUUCCAGCGCCCGCCGGGGGCUCCAACAUUGUGACUUUUAGUCCGGGAGCGGGGCCGUAAAUCGCCCGGCAUGGCCUAAAAUGGCCGUGGGACUUAGCAUCGCCCGCCUGGGGCUUGGAUAUCGGGAGAGAAAUGGAGAACAGGGGAGAGAAAAUACUUUGCCUUCCAUC